GACGAACGCUGGCGGCGUGCUUAACACAUGCAAGUCGAACGAUGAAGUCUCUUCGGAGGCGGAUUAGUGGCGAACGGGUGAGUAACACGUGGGCAAUCUGCCCUGCACUCUGGGACAAGCCCUGGAAACGGGUCUAAUACCGGAUAUGACCGUCUUGGGCAUCCUUGAUGGUGUAAAGCUCCGGCGGUGCAGGAUGAGCCCGCGGCCUAUCAGCUUGUUGGUGAGGUAACGGCUCACCAAGGCGACGACGGGUAGCCGGCCUGAGAGGGCGACCGGCCACACUGGGACUGAGACACGGCCCAGACUCCUACGGGAGGCAGCAGUGGGGAAUAUUGCACAAUGGGCGCAAGCCUGAUGCAGCGACGCCGCGUGAGGGAUGACGGCCUCGGUUGGUAAGCUCUUCAUGCGGAAGAGCGAAAGCGAGACGGUACCUCAGAAGAAGCGCCGGCUAACUACGUGCCAGCAGCCGCGGUGAUACGUAGGGCGCAAGCGUUGUCCGGAA
rnacentral:rRNA from 1 species